rnacentral:rRNA from 1 species
GAUGAACGCUGGCGGCGUGCCUAAUACAUGCAAGUCGAGCGAACAGAUGAGAAGCUUGCUUUUCUGAUGUUAGCGGCGGACGGGUGAGUAACACGUGGAUAACCUACCUAUAAGACUGGGAUAACUUCGGGAAACCGGAGCUAAUACCGGAUAAUAUUUUGAACCGCAUGGUUCAAUAGUGAAAGACGGUCUUGCUGUCACUUAUAGAUGGAUCCGCGCUGCAUUAGCUAGUUGGUAAGGUAACGGCUUACCAAGGCAACGAUGCAUAGCCGACCUGAGAGGGUGGUCGGCCACACUGGAACUGAGACACGGUCCAGACUCCUACGGGAGGCAGCAGUAGGGAAUCUUCCGCAAUGGGCGAAAGCCUGACGGAGCAACGCCGCGUGAGUGAUGAAGGUCUUCGGAUCGUAAAACUCUGUUAUUAGGGAAGAACAUAUGUGUAAGUAACUAUGCACAUCUUGACGGUACCUAAUCAGAAAGCCACGGCUAACUACGUG